AAAGAAUUAGUUAAAUAAUAACAUUAGAAUGUCAAACUGAAAUUAUUAAAAUAUUAAUAUUCUUUG
rnacentral:tRNA from 1 species